UUGCCUGCAGUCCUUUAGGAAGUCUAAGGCACUGAACCCGGUUCUCCCAAGUCCCAGGCAAGCACCUUAACCACUGGGCAUCGUCUCUCUUUCUGGAAGAGCACCUGCUUAAAUCACAAGCUAUGCCUGACCCCAGAUACCGGAAGGCUUUUCAUGGUGCUGGUAGCAGCAUUGCUGCAUUACUACCACCGUACAUCAGAGUAUCCUGAUACCACAGCUUUAGAAUAGGUUGCAGCUUUUCUCAUAUUUCUGUAUGUUGUUGUCCUUUUUGCUUUUGGGCUGGUUCCCCACCCAGUGGCGUUCCAGAUCUGGAGUGAUUUUGGAGUGAGCAAUUUUAAGCUUGUGUUAUAAGACUUUGGGUGUUGAUUGAUUUGGUGGUGUUCCUGUGAGAGGCUAAAAAGGAGACAUGAUUGCCCUGUGGGCUGCCCAGGAGGUGGCUUUUUCACUUUGCAUAUUUGUUUUGCAUUUUAAUACCAGUGGGUUUUCAACUGGAAGUGUAACAGCUGGAUGUCAUGGGGACUUGAAGGAAGGAACUUAAAGGCUCAGAACUUGAGCAGAAACACUGUUCUCCCUCACUUGAAGCUAUAGAAAAAUUGUGCACUGGUGCAGAGCGAGAUGCACAACAUACACGGAGCAGUGGGUCAUGGAAACAAUGAAAUGCUGAUGCUCUGUACUGCUGAGUGGUGUCAGAAGAUGGUCUUUGCAGUGGAAGCUCUGCAAAAAGAAACCUACCCUUCAAAGCGUGGGCACACGUAGCAUAUACUUCUGUCACUGCAUCUUGUCACUGUACUUUAAACAGAAGAUUAAAAUAAGUCAGAGCAAAUGGAUUAUAAGGGGCUGAAGUGGAUACAUAUGCACAGGAAUUGCAGCAUUCGCAUCAAUCACGUAACCUGGGAAUACCUCCAGUUCUUUCCCACGCAAUAACAAUGUCACCCGCAGUCGGUGCCCAUGCCAGCUCUACGUGGGGAUGAUGUGUUGUUCUGAACCCUCGGUCUCCAGUUGUUCUGAAAGAGUAAGCUGUAUAGAAAAUGCCGAGGGCUGUGUCUGAGCCACUCACUUCUGAGUUGUGUGACCAAUGCAAAUUGAACUCAAAUCUCCCCGACGAUUCCCCCAGGAUGGAGAGAAUUGGGGAUGGAGCGGCAGAAUGUAGUUAGGUCAUGUUUUGGGCCUCUUCCACCACCCACUUUUGUUUGCACUGCCUGCCACAAAGCGGUGAGUCAGGAAAAGGAUGCAGUGGGUUGGUCAUGGGAGAAUUGCAUCAGGCAUAUUAGAGAAAAGGGUGUUGAUGUGGUAAAACAAGCCUUUGCUAUGUCUAGUUCUCUGGUGGUGUCAUGCCCAUGGAUGCUGUAUUAGUGGUGUAAACCAAGGUUAAAGCUUUCCACUGCAGCCUGAACAUGUACCCGAGCCAGGCCGAGCAGUCACAGCUGUCUGGCUGUCUUGUAGUCCCUGACCCACCACACCACACGUAAGUGCAGUGAAGAAAUCAGCCAGUUUGGGAUGUCCAGUUUAACAUGGAACUUUUGCACUCUCGAACUUGGAAGCAGGUCAGCCUUUUUCUUUCAAAAUGGACCUGGUGGCGGGUGCCUCUUAUACAACUGGAAAUCCAGAUGCUACUGCUUGUCAACAAUGCAAUAUCCACCUGGAUUUUCAUGGUGAGAAGGUCAUUUUCCUGCACAUCUGAAUCGCGUAUUCUGCUGUUGUUCAUGCUGCAUAACCGGCACGCCCACGCUUUGAAUUUUUGUGGCCUAC